rnacentral:rRNA from 1 species
GACGAACGCUGGCGGCGUGCUUAACACAUGCAAGUCGAGCGGUAAGGCCCUUUCGGGGGUACACGAGCGGCGAACGGGUGAGUAACACGUGGGUGACCUGCCCUCAGCUCUGGGAUAAGCCUGGGAAACCGGGUCUAAUACUGGAUAUGACUCCAUGACGCAUGUUGUGGGGUGGAAAGCCUUGUGCGGCUGAGGAUGGGCCCGCGGCCUAUCAGCUUGUUGGUGGGGUGAUGGCCUACCAAGGCGACGACGGGUAGCCGGCCUGAGAGGGCGACCGGCCACACUGGGACUGAGACACGGCCCAGACUCCUACGGGAGGCAGCAGUGGGGAAUCCUGCGCAAUGGGCGAAAGCCUGACGCAGCGACGCCGCGUGGGUGAUGAAGGCCUCGGUC